rnacentral:rRNA from 1 species
AUUCCCCUAGUAACUGCGAGUGAAGCGGGAAAAGCUCAAAUUUAAAAUCUGGUGGUCUUUGGCCAUCCGAGUUGUAAUUUAGAGAAGCGUCUUCCGCGCUGGACCGUGCACAAGUCUCCUGGAAUGGAGCGUCAUAGAGGGUGAGAAUCCCGUCUUUGGCACGGACACACCAGGGCUUUUGUGAUGCGCUCUCGAAGAGUCGAGUUGUUUGGGAAUGCAGCUCAAAAUGGGUGGUGAACUCCAUCUAAAGCUAAAUAUUGGCGAGAGACCGAUAGCGAACAAGUACCGUGAGGGAAAGAUGAAAAGCACUUUGGAAAGAGAGUGAAACAGUACGUGAAAUUGUUGAAAGGGAAACGCUUGAAGUCAGUCGCGUCGACCGAGACUCAGCCUUGCCUUGGCUUGGUGCACUUCUCGGCUGACGGGUCAGCAUCAAUUUUGCCCCUUGGAUAAUGGCGAGGGAAAUGUGACACCUUUACGGUGUGUUAUAGUCCCUCGUCGCAUGCAAGGGUCGGGAUUGAGGAACUCAGCACGCGCCUUUUGGCGUCGGGGCUUUGCCCACGAUACGUGCUUAGGAUGUUGGCGUAAUGGCUUUAAACGACCCGUCUUGAAACACGGACCAAGGAGUCUAACAUGCCCGCGAGUGCUCGGGUGGAAAACCCGUGCGCGUAAUGAAAGUGAAAGUUGGGACCUCCGUCGUGGAGGGCACCGACGCCCGGACCAGACCUUCUGUGACGGCUCUGCGGUAGAGCGUGUAUGUUAGGACCCGAAAGAUGGUGAACUAUGCCUGAAUAGGGUGAAGCCAGAGGAAACUCUGGUGGAGGCUCGUAGCGAUUCUGACGUGCAAAUCGAUCGUCAAAUUUGGGUAUAGGGGCGAAAGAC